GCCCACUGUCCGGGCCUGGCUCCCGGGCCCGCCUCCUCCCCCGCGCGGCCUCUCCCGCCAGAACCCCGCAGUGCUUCCCCCUGACUCUCCGAAUGACGCCCCGGCUCCGGCCAGGGCCUUCCGGGCGGCUCCGGCCCCCAGCCUCGCGUUGCAGAGGGGCAGGUGCAUGUGGGGCUGGAGCGUUGGGCGGCUUUCAUCCCUCUCCCCUUCCCAGCGGCCCAGCUUCUGCGAGGUGCCCCUGUGCGUUUGUUCCUUCAACGUUUACUGAGCGCCUGCCAUAUGCCGGGGGCCCGAAGAAUUUAGAUAGUGAAACAACUCCUCUGGCAAUAGCUGAUUUCGGGGUGGCGGCAUGCCCCAUGACCUCCAUUCCCGGAAGGGUCUACGGAAAGUCUUCGGUCUUCACUUUGUUCAACUUCUCUCCUGUGAGGGUGGCAGCGAUGAUGUCCAAGCGCUUUCCGUGGCAGAGCUGAGACUCCGAGUCCUGUCCUCCAAGUUCUAAACCUCGUUGCCUUCCUUUGUUUUCCCUGGAAGCAGACUCUGAGACUAGGAUUCUCAUGCCAGCAACUUAUCUCCACGGCGGUCCCAGGAAAACCCGAGAGAGGUAUGGGAAGCACGACUGGGAAGGGAAAGAGUGAACACAGUCUGCAUCGCUAAGUAGGCAGUCCCUGUGGCCAACUGAGGCUUAGCUGUGCCGCAGAACUCUUGGAAGAGGGGACCGAGCACGGUAAAGUCAUCUCACCAAGGGGGAGGGAGCUGGGGUAUUUAUACGCCUCCUCCUCCCAGUCAUUCGCCCAGAGCCCCAGAGGGCGGAAGUAGGAGAAGGACCAGAGGGGGUGCUGAGCAGGCUCCAGAAGCCAGGAGACAAGCCCCCAGGCAAAGAGCUGCACGUGCUGGAGGUCAGAGGUCAGGAGGUGGCAAGGCUGACUGGACCAAGGCCAAGGCAGGAGGAGAGUAGCUGCCACAGGGUUGCUCUGCCUCUAGAAUGAGGAAUACUGGGGUCCGUGGGCGGCUCAGUCAGUUACGCAGCCGACUCCAGCUCAGGUCAUGAUCUCACGGUCCGUGGGUUCGAGCCCCGCGUCGGGCUCUGUGCGGACGGCUCGGGGCCUGGAGCCUGCUUCCGAUUCUGUGUCUCCCUCUCUCUCUGCUCCUCCCCCGCUUGCGCUCUGUCUCUCUGUGUCUCUCUCCCAAAAAUAAACACUAAAAAAGUUAAAAUUAAAUGAGGAAUUACUUCCUUUGCUGAGCAGACCCCACUCUGAUUCUUCGGCGAGCAAACUGCUGUAAGUUUUCGGAUCUGAAGAGGGAAAAGCGUUUCGAAGCAUUGGUCAGCUGUCCUCUUAAUUCUCCACCCAACACAGUGCUUUACCGUCUGUUUUUUUUUCUAGGUCUCUGUCAUUGGUACGUAGAUGUGACAUUAAAACACGUCCAAUUAUUUAUCUCCCUCCCAAAAGAUGGAGUCUAGUUCCCCUCUCCUACUCGUGACCUGGCCUCAGUGGGCCUCUCCUUUUUUCUUUCUUUCUUUUUUUUGAUGUUUAUUUAUUUUUGAGAGACAGGGAGAAACCGAGUCAGAGCAGGGGAGGAGCAGAGAGAGAGGGAGAUACAGAAUUUGGAGCAGGCUCCAGGCUCUGAGCCCGAUGCGGGGCACGAACCCGCGAACCGUGAGAUCAUGACCCGUGCCAAGGUCAGACGCUUAACCAGCCAAACCACCCAGGCGCCCCUCAGUGGGCCUCUUCUAAUAAAUAGGAUGUGGUGGAAAUAGGAUGCAGUGAUUUCUAAGGUCCUGCUUCUACUAGGAAUGCUCGCUCGCUCUCUCUCCCUCCCUCCAUCCCUCUAUCUCCCUCCCUCCCCCUCUAUCUCUUAACUCACACCUUGGGAUCCCCGAGCUGACAUGCGGGAAGUCCAGUUACACUGGAGGGAGCAUAUGGGCCGUCCACAUAGAGACACAGUGAGAAGCCCAGGGAGCCCCAGCUGUUUGGAACUUUCCAGCCCAGGCCCAGAUGUGCGCGAGCGAGUCAUCAGCUGAUUCCAGAGCCAUCCCAGCUGACACCAAGGGGAACGGAGAUGAGCUUAACUCACCAAACUCCGACAAAAUUGCAAAAAUCAUAUGCAAAAUAAAUGUCGCUGUUGUUGUAACCUGUCGCCAAGCGGAGCAGAGACCCGCUGUCCCCACUGAGCCCUGCCAGAUUGCAGACUCGGGGUGAAAUAAAUGCCACAAAAUUCGGGGAUAGCUUGGCACGCAGCCGUAGUACCUCGACAUACAACCGUGACACUCAACCCCCCACAUUCUUCCUUGCUGAUGGAACCCAGACUUUAUCUGGGGGCAGCGAUGUACCCUGCCUGAUUCAGCCAGUCAUGGCAAUCCUAUUCUAGCUUUGUCAGUCUCCUUUGUCCUGCGGGGGCAGGGCGGGGGUCAGGGGGUAGGCUGAGUAACCCAGUUCUGCCGGUGAAACACAAGCGGGAGUCUGUGGGGAGGAAGCCUCUGGGGAAAUGUUAGCAUUCCUGAUGGCAUUGGUCUUUCAGCUGCAACCACAGAACGUCUUGCCCCCGCGAGAGGGGGGUCAAGACAACCACAUUUGUGGGAGCCCUGACAUCUGUGAACAAACUGGACUCCCGCAACAGCCAGUAUCUGGAAUUCUUGGAAGGUGAGAGGGAAUUCACUGACAUCUUCGAGCAGUUGAACUACACCAGCUGUGGCCAAGCUCCAGCCUGCCUUUACUAGGAGAAACUUGAAACCUCUGUUUAUGCUUUUCGUUGCCUGGUUUUGGGGGAAGAGGGGGUUGGUUUUCUGCCUGGUUUUGUUUUAGUUUUACAGGACGGCCCCUGUGGGAUCGUUUCGAGAGUGAGAGCCAUCUGGAACCUCUGAGUUGGCGUGGCUUUUUGGUUUUGGCGGGUAAGGACGGACGGAGAGCCAACAACCCUGAGCCAAGUUCUGUGGACAUAGCCAGGAGACUGUCAAAGGGGCUGAGCGUUGGUCCUUUUGGCCGUCGUCUUUGGGGCAGGGUGACAUCCAAUCGUGCCCCAGUCGGGUGGUCUCCAUAAACAAGCUUUCUCUAGAAGGAAACAAUGAUGGUGAUAGUGAUGGUGGGGAUGACAGGUGUGGGGGGGGCAGGGAUGUUGAUGACGAUGUUGGUGGAGAUGAUGAUGGUCGUUAUAAAGGUGAUGGUAAGUGGGGACGACGGUAACGUCAAUGAUGAUGUUGAUGAUGGUGGUGGGGAUAAUGAUGGCGGUGGUGGCAAUGACAGGAUGCUAUUAAGAGCCGAUACGGGGGCGCCUGGGUGGCGCAGUCGGUUAAGCGUCCGAUUUCAGCCGGGUCACGAUCUCGCGGUCGGUGAGUUCGAGCCCCGCGUCGGGCUCUGGGCUGAUGGCUCGGAGCCUGGAGCCUGUUUCCGAUUCUGUGUCUCCCUCUCUCUCUGCCCCUCCCCCGUUCAUGCUCCGUCUCUCUCUGUCCCAAAAAUAAA